rnacentral:rRNA from 1 species
GAUGAACGCUGGCGGCGUGCCUAAUACAUGCAAGUCGAGCGAACGGACGAGAAGAUUGCUUCUCUGAUGUUAGCGGCGGACGGGUGAGUAACACGUGGAUAACCUACCUAUAAGACUGGGAUAACUUCGGGAAACCGGAGCUAAUACCGGAUAAUAUUUUGAACCGCAUGGUUCAAAAGUGAAAGACGGUCUUGCUGUCACUUAUAGAUGGAUCCGCGCUGCAUUAGCUAGUUGGUAAGGUAACGGCUUACCAAGGCAACGAUGCAUAGCCGACCCGAGAGGGUGAUCGGCCACACUGGAACUGAGACACGGUCCAGACUCCUACGGGAGGCAGCAGUAGGGAACCUUCAGCAGUGGGCGCAAGCCUGACGGAGCAACGCCGCGUGAGUGAGGAAGGUCUUCGGAUCGUAAAACUCUGUUAUUAGGGAAGAACAUAUGUGUAAGUAACUGUGCACAUCUUGACGGUACCUAAUCAGAAAGCCACGGCUAACUACGUG